AAGGAAUAUUGCUCAAUGGGGGAAACCCUGAAGCAGCAACGCCGCGUGAGGGAUGAAGGGCUUUUGCUUGUAAACCUCUGUAGUGAGGGAAAAAAUUUCCACUCUGUGGAAUAUGAUGGUACCUCAAAAGUAAGCCCCGGCUAACUACGUGCCAGCAGCCGCGGUAAUACGUAGGGGGCAAACGUUGUCCGGAUUUACUGGGUGUAAAGGGUGCUCAGGCGGUUUUGUAAGUCAGAAGUGAAAUCCUAGGGCUUAACUCUGGAACUGCUUUUGAUACUGCAAGGCUUGAAUGUGGAAGAGGAGGAUGGAAUUUCUGGUGUAGCAGUGAAAUGCGUAGAUAUCAGAAAGAACACCAGUGGCGAAGGCGGUCCUCUGGUCCACUAUUGACGCUAAAGCACGAAAGCGUGGGGAGCAAAC
rnacentral:rRNA from 1 species